rnacentral:rRNA from 1 species
AGAGUUUGAUCCUGGCUCAGGACGAACGCUGGCGGCGUGCCUAAUACAUGCAAGUUGAACGAUGAUUUCUGGUACUUGUAUCAGAAUGAAGAGUAGCGAACGGGUGAGUAACGCGUGGGUAACCUACCUCUUAGCGGGGGACAACUAUUGGACAACGAUAGCUAAUACCGCAUAACAAUAUUAAACACAUGUUUAAUAUUUGAAAGUACCAAUUGGUACACUAGGAGAUGGACCCGCGUUGUAUUAGCUAGUUGGUAGUGUAAUGGACUACCAAGGCGAUGAUACAUAGCCGACCUGAGAGGGUGAUCGGCCACAUUGGGACUGAGACACGGCCCAAACUCCUACGGGAGGCAGCAGUAGGGAAUCUUCGGCAAUGGACGAAAGUCUGACCGAGCAACGCCGCGUGAGUGAAGAAGGUUUUCGGAUCGUAAAACUCUGUUGUUAGAGAAGAACGUUGUGUAGAGUGGAAAAUCACACAAGUGACGGUAUUUAACCAGAAAGGGACGGCUAACUACGUGCCAGCAGCCGCGGUCAUACGUAGGUCCCGAGCGUUGUCCGGAUUUAUUGGGCGUAAAGCGAGCGCAGGUGGUUUAAUAAGUCUGAUGUAAAAGGCAGUGGCUCAACCAUUGUGUGCAUUGGAAACUGUUAGACUUGAGUGCAGUAGAGGAGAGUGGAAUUCCAUGUGUAGCGGUGAAAUGCGUAGAUAUAUGGAGGAACACCGGUGGCGAAAGCGGCUCUCUGGACUGUAACUGACACUGAGGCUCGAAAGCGUGGGUAGCAAACAGGAUUAGAUACCCUGGUAGUCCACGCCGUAAACGAUGAGUGCUAGUUGUUUGGGGCUAUCCAGCCCUAAGUGACGCAGCA